rnacentral:rRNA from 1 species
GUGCCUACGGGGGGCAGCAGUGGGGAAUAUUGGGCAAUGGACGCAAGUCUGACCCAGCAACGCCGCGUGAAGGAAGAAGGCUUUCGGGUUGUAAACUUCUUUUAAGGGGGAAGAGCAGAAGACGGUACCCCUUGAAUAAGCCACGGCUAACUACGUGCCAGCAGCCGCGGUAAUACGUAGGGGGCAAGCGUUAUCCGGAUUUACUGGGUGUAAAGGGAGCGUAGACGGCGUGCCAAGUCUGAUGUGAAAGGCCGGGGCUCAACCCCGGGACUGCAUUUGAAACUGUCCGGCUGGAGUGCAGGAGG